GGGACCGUGGUGUAGGGGUAUGCGUGUUUGCCUCUCACCCAGUCGACUUGGGUUCGAUUCCAGACGGUCCCG
rfam:Culex pipiens quinquefasciatus supercont3.433 genomic scaffold, whole genome shotgun sequence.